CAGAGUUAAGAAAUAAUUUCUAAUGACAUCCUUGCCAGGUCAAACAUUGUCAAACUUUUAUUAUAGUCAAAUCAUUUAAGGUAGAUGGGGGUCUAAAUCAAAAUCCAUAGAAUCUUUUAAUACCUUGUCAAAAUGGAAUUAAUGUCAUGCUUUUUCCAAAAAAAUAUGAUACAAAAGACGGGACUCACAGGGCUUAUUUUUUUGCGCUUAACAGCCUACCGAUUGUGUUUAAUUGUCAGUUUGUAUAGAUUAUGCAUGCAAAAUUUAAUUUUGUGUGAUAAAAAAUUAAAGUACACCAUAGAAUUUAAAGAUAAAAUAUGUGAAGAUAGCUCUUUUCAUAGAUGCCAACCCCCUAUUGACAUAAUCAGUAACAAACUAUCAAAUUUUCCGUAUUUUUGAAACGUUUUCAGUAAUCAUUCAUAAACGUGCAUUUACCAAUCAAAAUUACUGACGAGUGGUUGCAAAGUGAUGUACACUAAAAUUUGUCAUUUAACAUGUUGUUUGUAGUAUGUAUUCCAUUUAUUAAUUGUUCAGAUGUUCUCGACUCAAACAUUUUUGUUUUGGUUGUCAAGGAAAAGUAGAGAAAGGGGG
rnacentral:lncRNA from 1 species